rnacentral:rRNA from 1 species
GAUGAACGCUAGCUACAGGCUUAACACAUGCAAGUCGAGGGGAAACGAUAGGGAAAGCUUGCUUUUUCUAGGCGUCGACCGGCGCACGGGUGAGUAACGCGUAUCCAACCUGCCCAUCACUUGGGGAUAACCUUGCGAAAGUAAGGCUAAUACCCAAUGACGUCUCUAGAAGACAUCUGAAGGAGAUUAGAGAUUUAUCGGUGAUGGAUGGGGAUGCGUAUGAUUAGCUUGUUGGCGGGGUAACGGCCCACCAAGGCGACGAUCAGUAGGGGUUCUGAGAGGAAGGUCCCCCACAUUGGAACUGAGACACGGUCCAAACUCCUACAGGAGGCAGCAGUGAGGAAUAUUGGUCAAUGGACGAGAGUCUGAACAGCCAAGUAGCGUGCAGGAAGACGGCCCUAUGGGUUGUAAACUGCUUUUAUAAGGGAAUAAAGUGAGUCUCGUGAGACUUUUUGCAUGUACCUUAUGAAUAAGGACCGGCUAAUUCCGUGCCAGCCGCCGCCGUAA